GCCACACAUGCUUCUGAAUGUGUGGCAAAAUACAUGCUUGUGAAUGCAAACUGCCACAAGAGUAUGUGUCAUGAAACUCUCUAACAAAAGUAUGUUACAUCAUUACAAACUACAAGGGUAUCAACAACAUAAAGCUAAAUAAUAUGUGUCAGUAAAUUCUUAUGAGUCUAAUAAACUAUUGUUCAGUUGAUCAGUGCUGAAAAUUGAGUCAAAGACGCAAGAGAAAACACGUGAACAAUUAAAACUAAGGCACUAUCCAGCUAAUGUAUAAAACUGC
rnacentral:lncRNA from 1 species